rnacentral:rRNA from 1 species
CCAGACAGGGGAAUAACACACCGAAAGGUGUACUAAUACCGCAUAAGACCACGGAAUCACAUGGUUCUGGGGUAAAAGAUUUAUCGGUUUGGGGUGGGCUCGCGUCCGAUUAGGUAGUUGGUGAGGUAACGGCCCACCAAGCCGACGAUCGGUAGCCGACCUGAGAGGGUGAUCGGCCACAUUGGGACUGAGACACGGCCCAAACUCCUACGGGAGGCAGCAGUGGGGAAUAUUGGGCAAUGGAGGAAACUCUGACCCAGCAACGCCGCGUGGAGGAAGAAGGUUUUCGGAUCGUAAACUCCUGUCCUUGGAGACGAGUAGAAGACGGUAUCCAAGGAGGAAGCCCCGGCUAACUACGUGCCAGCAGCCGCGGUAAUACGUAGGGGGCAAGCGUUGUCCGGAAUAAUUGGGCGUAAAGGGCGCGUAGGCGGCUCGGUAAGUCUGGAGUGAAAGUCCUGCUUUUAAGGUGGGAAUUGCUUUGGAUACUGUCGGGCUUGAGUGCAGGAGAGGUUAGUGGAAUUCCCAGUGUAGCGGUGAAAUGCGUAGAGAUUGGGAGGAACACCAGUGGCGAAGGCGACUAACUGGACUGUAACUGACGCUGAGGCGCGAAAGUGUGGGGAGCAAACAGGAUUAGAUACCCUGGUAGUCCACACUGUAAACGAUGAAUGCUAGGUGUAGGGGGUAUCGACCCCUUCUGUGCCGCAGUCAACACAAUAAGCAUUCGUCCGGGG